CCAUAGAGGGAAGUCAGGCAGUGCAGAGCGUCCGCUGAUAAGAGUGUGCGGCGCUAUCCUCCAGCGCCCUCUGGCGGCAGAUAGUCUGAAGUUCGCAGCCGAUAGGAGACUGCAUUGGUUCAGUCACCAACUGUUCCUAAUUGCAACUGGCUGUUUAUAGCUGAAAACUGCCAAGCCCAUCACCUGGGAAUGUCCUGCUGAUCCAUGGCUAACAAGGAAGAUUGGUCUGUCAGCAUCUUUCCAGCAACAGUUAAUUUGGAAGUUGUUGGCAACAAAGCACACAACGCAUAUAACCACUAACACUCUUGUAUCACCUUAACACCCAAAUAUAGGUGUCUAAGGGAAAGAACCUAGGCUACACCCACAAGCUGGAGCCAAUAUUUGCAUUUAUACAAGAGUUUAUGAUUUGUUUUAGUUGUAAGUGUGAGCCUUCUUCCAUAUCAACAUACCCUUUUCUGUUCAUAAUUAACUGACAGCGUAUACAUCUUUAUAAGUCCCAGAUUUAAAAAUGUUUAAAUAGCAUUGAAUUUGUAAGUGGUUGGAUGGAGAUACUAUGAAUGUAGCGUCCUGCACUGUAUUUCCUAUUUGAAGCACUAAAAAGUCCUAGCUUUUGAAUACUUUUGUGGCCCUGUUUUGGUGUCUAGUACUGUGGCUCUACCUGUCCCACACUUGAUUCCAGAGGCAGUUUCUACCAAUUACAAAGGUUUCCUUCAUGCCAAAGCCCUUAACUGAUCUAUAAGCAUCACAUUUUGCCUGCUGACCUAAGGUCCAGUGGCCAGGGUGGUAGUGUGCCUGAAUUAAAAACAAAAUGCUUAAAAAAUUA